GGCUCGGUGGCGAAGUAGCUAACGCUGCGGUCUGCAAAACCGUUAUUCGUGGGUGCAAAUCCCACCCGGGCCU
rnacentral:tRNA from 1 species